CUGCUAGGGAAAUCAUCCUGGAAAAGGGUAGGAAGGAAUAUGGUGUAGUGGCAAAAGUGAAGGGGUUCCAGUGUGGGGAAGGGCCAGUGGUAAGGGAAGACGGGGUAGAAAAGGGCAUCUGGAAGCAGGUUUAUCUGUGUGGGAUAUGGGUCUGGCCCAGAGACUGGUGAGAAGUGUGUAUGUGUGUGUGUGCGAUGUCAUAGCUCAGAUGAGGGAGCUAUGAUACAGGAGAGUGUGUAUGGGGGUAUCACNNNNNNNNNNNNNNNNNNNNNNNNNNNNNNNNNNNNNNNNNNNNNNNNNNNNNNNNNNNNNNNNNNNNNNNNNNNNNNNNNNNNNNNNNNNNNNNNNNNNAGGCCAAGGAGGAGCUGGCCCGGCUGCUGCGAGACUACCAGGCACUACUGGGGGCCAAGCUGUCCCUGGAUGUGGAGAUCGCCACCUACCGCAAACUGCUGGAGGGCGAGGAGAGCAGGAUGUCGGGGGAGCUGCAGAGCCACGUGAGCAUCUCUGUGCAGAGCAGCCAGACUACCGUCAGCAGCGGGGGAGGUGGCGGUGGCCGAGGCUCUAGAGGUUAUGGUGGCGGCUACAGUGGCGCCAGCUCCCGCAGGGGCGGCAGCAGCAGCAGUAGCAGCAGAGGCUACGGCAGUGGCGGAGGCGGGGGCUCCCGAGGGGUCAGCGGAGGUGGUUAUUCCGGCGGCACCGGCGGGAGCUACGGAGGGAGCAGCAGGGGCAGCAGCAAGUACGGAGGCAGCGGAGGCUUCUCCCGCGUGCAGAUCAUCCAAACUUCCACCAACACCUCCCACAAGCGAAUCGUGGAGUAGAGGGAAGGCUCAGCCCCACCCCACCAGCUCCCAGCGGCAAGGCUGUCAUCUGUUCCCUCCCCCACGCCCUUCCUGAACCCCUCUCACUUACCUUUUCCUUAUGGGUCUCAGCAGUUUUGCCAAAUACAUCGCACUUUCCCCGGGGAAGCAGGUGGAUAUUGGAUCUAUCUUCGGGAGGGUGCUGGCUGGCAGGCAGAAUCACAGCCAGACACACUCAACUCAGACUCCACUCAGCUGGCCCUGCUCCUGCCCCUGGGAACCCUCAAGGGCCCCAGUUUAGAGAUGGAGAAAAGGAGCCCUAUAGUGUAUCUACAAAGCAGAUAAUAGAGUGUUAAUGUCAAGGACCCCAGGUAUCUCACUCCCAGGCUCCCUUUCCUGCACCUGGGCUGCUCUGUGGACAAUAACCCAUCCCUUAGGGCCACAGAAUGAAGCCUCUGGGCAAGUUGCUUGGCAAGGGGAACCUGUGCCUGGGCCCAUUACUGCCUGUUGGUCUGUUAGCCUCCUACUUUCAUUUCCUCCAUCCAUGCAGAGUAUGGAUUUGCUGUCCUCAUCAGACACCUGUAAGUGAUCUCUGCUCUUGCUUCUGAAUCUCUGUCUUAAGAAGCAUUAUUCUCGGGGUUAACAGCCCAAGAUGGGAGUCUUUCCGAGGACAUACGUCCUUGUCCCCUGGGAGGACUGAUUAUCCCUAAAUGGAGGAGUCAAUGGACAAACAAUCCAUUGUUUCUGCCCCGCCCUUCCUGAGAGCUCCAUUCUUUGGAAGCCUGGCCCUUUCUAAACUCUGCUCCAUAAUGGCCCUCCUGAGAAUUGUCUAGCAGACUGGGCACAUGCAGCCCAGGUCUGCUUAGUCCAGGUGCCCAGGCCCUGGAGAUUUUGAGGCUCAGACAUGGGCCUUUGGAGGGUUCAGUCCUGAACCAGUUUGGAAGCUGCCUGUAAUUUGUCAGGAAACUUAGUGUCCUUUCCCAGAUCUCAAAGUCCCUCCUGACUCCUGUUCUCUGUGACUGAGCACUUUGUGAGAAUUUGAUGCUUGAAAUGUGCUGGAGGGGAUGGGAAGGGGAAACUACUGGCCAACUAGCAGGCCUUGAGAGGGAGAAGGUGACUUUACUUCCCGAGUCACUUUCACUUGUUUGCUGAGUCCUAAUAUGACCUCCAAAUCCAUGAUUCUCUUGGGGCAUCUGCCGGGCUCAGCAUGGGUUCCUUGGGGAGUGCUGUGACUUCAUCACUUCCUGGUUGAAGCUUGUACCUUGAAAGGCUUGACAUUUUUGGUGUUUCUACAAUAAAAUAUUCUGUGAUCUCAAACUGC
ensembl:lncRNA